UGUGUUUUUUGCAACAUAUACACAUCUCCAGCUGUGUUGUUGUUUGUCUGUCUCUGUCUGCGUUUUUGUUUAACAAAAGCAUUGUUCGCGCGCGCAAUGCUAAAAAGAACUGCAUCAAAUAGUUAAGACGGAAAUGAACGAAAAAUGUAGUUAAAAAGAUUGUGCAAUUUAUAGCAGUGCUGCGCAACACGGUGCUACAGUGUUGCUUUUAUCAUUGUAAUAAGCAAAUUCAGAAUCACAGCAACCAAAAGAAAAAAGCAUAAGGCAUAAAGCAUCGUAACUGUCAAAAUUUUUUAUGUCUUAAAACAAGUACACAUUAACACAGAAACUAGCUUUAGUAGAACGAUUGCAAAUUAGGCGAGUUAUUGUGCAAGCCAUCAUAAACAAUAAGUGGCAGACAAACACAAGGGCAGGCGGAGAAGUCGACGCAGUGCUAUCGCCAGCUGAAAAAGAUCGUAGCAAAGGACGCGCAAAACUUUCAAUAUGAUCAGCAGCUUGUUUUCACGCCUGAUAAUGUGAGUAAGAAA